GGGUUGUGAGGUUAAGCGACUAAGCGUACACGGUGGAUGCCCUGGCAGUCAGAGGCGAUGAAGGACGUGCUAAUCUGCGAAAAGCGCCGGCGAGGUGAUAUGAACCUUUGACCCGGCGAUGUCCGAAUGGGGAAACCCAGUGCAAUUCGUUGCACUAUCGUUAACUGAAUACAUAGGUUAACGAGGCGAACCGGGGGAACUGAAACAUCUAAGUACCCCGAGGAAAAGAAAUCAACCGAGAUUCCCCCAGUAGCGGCGAGCGAACGGGGAGCAGCCCGGAGUCUGAAUCAGCUUGUGUGUUAGUGGAACGGUCUGGAAAGUCCGACGGUACAGGGUGAUAGUCCCGUACACGAAAGCACACAUGCUGUGAACUCGAAGAGUAGGGCGGGACACGUGGUAUCCUGUCUGAAUAUGGGGGGACCAUCCUCCAAGGCUAAAUACUCCUGACUGACCGAUAGUGAACCAGUACCGUGAGGGAAAGGCGAAAAGAACCCCGGCGAGGGGAGUGAAAAAGAACCUGAAACCGUGUACGUACAAGCAGUGGGAGCACCUUCGUGGUGUGACUGCGUACCUUUUGUAUAAUGGGUCAGCGACUUAUAUUCUGUAGCAAGGUUAACCGUAUAGGGGAGCCGAAGGGAAACCGAGUCUUAACUGGGCGUUAAGUUGCAGGGUAUAGACCCGAAACCCGGUGAUCUAGCCAUGGGCAGGUUGAAGGUUGGGUAACACUAACUGGAGGACCGAACCGACUAAUGUUGAAAAAUUAGCGGAUGACCUGUGGCUGGGGGUGAAAGGCCAAUCAAACCGGGAGAUAGCUGGUUCUCCCCGAAAGCUAUUUAGGUAGCGCCUCGUGAACUCAUCUUCGGGGGUAGAGCACUGUUUCGGCUAGGGGGCCAUCCCGGCUUACCAACCCGAUGCAAACUACGAAUACCGAAGAAUGUUAUCACGGGAGACACACGGCGGGUGCUAACGUCCGUCGUGAAGAGGGAAACAACCCAGACCGCCAGCUAAGGUCCCAAAGUCAUGGUUAAGUGGGAAACGAUGUGGGAAGGCACAGACAGCCAGGAUGUUGGCUUAGAAGCAGCCAUCAUUUAAAGAAAGCGUAAUAGCUCACUGGUCGAGUCGGCCUGCGCGGAAGAUGUAACGGGGCUAAACCAUGCACCGAAGCUGCGGCAGCGACACUAUGUGUUGUUGGGUAGGGGAGCGUUCUGUAAGCCGUUGAAGGUGUGCUGUGAGGCAUGCUGGAGGUAUCAGAAGUGCGAAUGCUGACAUAAGUAACGAUAAAGCGGGUGAAAAGCCCGCUCGCCGGAAGACCAAGGGUUCCUGUCCAACGUUAAUCGGGGCAGGGUGAGUCGACCCCUAAGGCGAGGCCGAAAGGCGUAGUCGAUGGGAAACAGGUUAAUAUUCCUGUACUUGGUGUUACUGCGAAGGGGGGACGGAGAAGGCUAUGUCAGCCGGGCGACGGUUGUCCCGGUUUAAGCAUGUAGGCGGAGGUUCCAGGUAAAUCCGGUACCUUUUAACGCUGAGGUGUGAUGACGAGGCACUACGGUGCUGAAGUGAUAAAUGCCCUGCUUCCAGGAAAAGCCUCUAAGCAUCAGGUAACACGAAAUCGUACCCCAAACCGACACAGGUGGUCAGGUAGAGAAUACCAAGGCGCUUGAGAGAACUCGGGUGAAGGAACUAGGCAAAAUGGUGCCGUAACUUCGGGAGAAGGCACGCUGAUGUGUAGGUGAAGCCCCUGCGGGCGGAGCUGAAAUCAGUCGAAGAUACCAGCUGGCUGCAACUGUUUAUUAAAAACACAGCACUGUGCAAACACGAAAGUGGACGUAUACGGUGUGACGCCUGCCCGGUGCCGGAAGGUUAAUUGAUGGGGUUAGCGGCAACGCGAAGCUCUUGAUCGAAGCCCCGGUAAACGGCGGCCGUAACUAUAACGGUCCUAAGGUAGCGAAAUUCCUUGUCGGGUAAGUUCCGACCUGCACGAAUGGCGUAAUGAUGGCCAGGCUGUCUCCACCCGAGACUCAGUGAAAUUGAACUCGCUGUGAAGAUGCAGUGUACCCGCGGCAAGACGGAAAGACCCCGUGAACCUUUACUAUAGCUUGACACUGAACACUGGUCCUUGAUGUGUAGGAUAGGUGGGAGGCUUUGAAGCGUGGACGCCAGUCUGCGUGGAGCCAACCUUGAAAUACCACCCUUUAAUGGCUGGUGUUCUAACGUAGACCCGUAAUCCGGGUUGCGGACAGUGUCUGGUGGGUAGUUUGACUGGGGCGGUCUCCUCCCAAAGAGUAACGGAGGAGCACGAAGGUUGGCUAAUCCUGGUCGGACAUCAGGAGGUUAGUGCAAUGGCAUAAGCCAGCUUGACUGCGAGCGUGACGGCGCGAGCAGGUGCGAAAGCAGGUCAUAGUGAUCCGGUGGUUCUGAAUGGAAGGGCCAUCGCUCAACGGAUAAAAGGUACUCCGGGGAUAACAGGCUGAUACCGCCCAAGAGUUCAUAUCGACGGCGGUGUUUGGCACCUCGAUGUCGGCUCAUCACAUCCUGGGGCUGAAGUAGGUCCCAAGGGUAUGGCUGUUCGCCAUUUAAAGUGGUACGCGAGCUGGGUUUAGAACGUCGUGAGACAGUUCGGUCCCUAUCUGCCGUGGGCGCUGGAGAAUUGAGGGGGGCUGCUCCUAGUACGAGAGGACCGGAGUGGACGCAUCACUGGUGUUCGGGUUGUCAUGCCAAUGGCACUGCCCGGUAGCUAAAUGCGGAAGAGAUAAGUGCUGAAAGCAUCUAAGCACGAAACUUGCCCCGAGAUGAGUUCUCCCUGAGACUUUAAGUCUCCUGAAGGAACGUUGAAGACGACGACGUUGAUAGGUCGGGUGUGUAAGCGCAGCGAUGCGUUGAGCUAACCGAUACUAAUGAACCGUGAGGCUUAACCUUACAACGCCGAAGGUGUUU
rnacentral:rRNA from 1 species